ACGGUUUAUGAACAGAAAAUCGUCCUAAAAAAAUCUACGACGAUUAACCUACAAAAUUAAACUUACGCCCCGACCGCCGCCCGCGGGUCGCCCGCUCCCUCGCGCCCCUGUUGCUCCCUCCUCGAUCCCGAUCUGGAUCGAGGGGACGAGGAGCUCCUGCCUCCCCGACGGCCGACCUCCUCCUCGUCCUCCUCGCCCCGCCGCUGCGUUCGGCGCCGCCACGGCCUCUGGAGCCAGGGAAGCCAUGGCCUGAGCUCGUCCUCGAGGUCCCCGCCGCCGUCUCCUGUAGCUUCUGCCCCGCCGCCUCACCGCCCGAGCUCGCCGUCGCACCAACCUCGGCGCCGCGCCGCCGCCGGCUCUGGUCGCCUCCACCUCCGCGCCGUGAGGAACCCGCCACGCGCGUCAAGGCGAGGCGCCUCCUGGGCUCCGUCCGUUUCCAGAGCGAGCGCCCGCGAAUACCUAGCUAGCCGCCGCCGUCGUGACCGUUCCAGCCACCGCCAAGGUGAGAAGGAUCGUCGGACAUGAGCGGAGUCUCCUACUCCAUAAGGUCUCCUCGUUGUCUUCAUUUCUUGCCCACGGCCUCGGAGAGCAAGGUCAUUUUGGCCAAUCGCGCGAACCGCAUGUUACGCUUCGACACCAUCGACGGUUGCAGCUACAUUGAUACAAUGCCUAGCCUCCACGGGUACAAGCACUCGCCGCUGGCCAUCUCUGUCCCUCCGACGGACUUGCACCUCCUUGGACGGCGAUGACACCGGCAACCUCUACAGCAUUGACGCCCACCUGCAAGGUCACCCCCCGGUCCUUCCCCGACAUCAUCAGCGAGUACCUCGGGGCAGAGUCCGCGCUACCGUACCUGAGCCCCUACAUGUGUGGCGAGAACCUGCUCGUCGGCGCCAACUUCGUAUCCGCCGGCAUCGGCAUCCUCAACGACACAGGCGUGCAAUUCGCAAGCUCCACGCGCGCGCACGCACACAUGCUCGAAUCAGGUAUACGUAUCUACAAUAAUGCAACGGAGAUGACAAUAAUGUUGUACGUGUACGUGUGCGUGUGCAGGUGAACAUCAUCAGGAUCGCGCAGCAGUUGCAAAACUUCCAAGACUACCAGCGGAGGCUGGCGGCGUACAUCGGCGAGGACGCGGCGAGGGAGCGCAUGAGCCAGUCGCUGGUGCUCAUCACGCUCGGCGGCAACGACUUCGUCAACAACUACUUCCUGGUGCCCUUCUCCGCUAGGUCCCAGCAGUUCGAGAUCCACGACUACGUCCCCUUCAUCAUCUCCGAGUACAAGAAAGUCCUCGCGAUGAUGUAAUCAGCUAGAGAAGGAUAGGAGCUUGCACAGAGUUUUUAGUAGAAGACGGCGUAAAUUGUGGUAUUCUCCGCAAUCUGGAAGUUCUUCAGAUCCAAAUCCUACUUCAGAAAGUGUAUAUGAAGCAAAGGUCUGCACCUACAUGUUAUCAGAAGUCAGGUCUUAGACAAGGUGUUUUCGGCAAGAAUCUUUUUACCAACAAGGAGGAUGAAGACGGGGAUUAACCCAAGGCAGCGGGGAAUACUACUUCAGUGAUGAGGAUCUUUCGAUGGAUGUGUAUUCACUGAUAUUAUGCUAUAGGUUAUCUCUCUUUUGGGUAUCUUCCUUUCUUUAGUAACUCAAAUUUCCAGUUGGCAACUCAAUUUCCCAUGGCUUGGAUGCGGAGGGGUCGUGGCAUGUCACAUAGGUGUGCUCAGGUGAUGCUACGGCAAAGGGCGGCGGCUCGGCUGAAGAGGGUUUGUUCGGCAGUGAUGUGGCAUGCUCGGGCCCAUGUGCGGAUGCGGUGGAGGGUGACACCGUGGCUACGACAGAGGACGACGCUGGGCACAUGGGUUGGGCCAGGGCGUUGCUGCAGACUCGGUAUCGAGCGUGGCUGGAUGCUCGGCUGGGUUACUGGCCUCCGCAUCGCCAGCGUGCUUGUCCUCCGGUGUGGCUGCACAGUCAGGCCAGGGCAUGGUUGGGUCCUUGGCCUCGGGUACAUGAGCUUAUCCAGAAGGGCUGAUAUGGAGGACAUGUCGUGUUGCCAUUUCCAUCUGCGAACAGGCUCCCAACUUAAUAAAUUGGAAUGCUCUAUUGAUUAAUGGAGAUAAUUUGCUCAUGCUACUCUCUAAAAAUAUUACCAAUGUUGUUUACUGCAACCUGGAGAUAUAAGUUACAACUUCUGAUUAUUUGAUUAUUGCAAUGUUGUUUACUGCAACCUGGAGAUACCAAUGUUGUUCACUGCAACCUGGAGAUACCAAUGUUGUUCACUAAGUUGGGAUGUUAGCAGCUUAUCUGUUAUUCGCAUAACAGAUCAACCAGAUGACAAACAAACCUUUGUAAUCAGAGCCAACCAGUGAUUUCUCCCGAUCUGGAUCCCCACCCCAAGCUCCGCCCGCAGUCUGAGGCCUGGCCAGCCAGCUAGCUCGGCCAAAAUCCGGCGGGAGGAAAGCACACCGAGCAGGGAAGAUGAGUAGCUACCAGAAUUGGCACCGUCAGCCACCUGGCCAACUAUGCCAUGGCCCUAAUCCACCGCUGGUCAGUCGACCAAUCAACAAGACCAUCAAGCAGAGGGGUUGUCACCCUAGAACUAGGGCUCUCCUUCGCCGGCAGGAGCAGCACGGGCCCCGUCGCCACAAUCCCCAGCUGCAUCAUGAGCUUGCCCGGCGCCACCCUCCUGUGACGGCUAGGAGGGAGGAAUGGUUACGUCGGCGGGAGGGGCGGCGCACAGGAGGGGGGUUGUGUCCACCUUUGGUAUUAAGUUAUUUGUUGGUUCUGCUGAAACUUAUCUUGUUCCUUAGUUGAAUUAGACAUCAAAUAUACAAGCUUUGUUUUUUGUCAGCAAACAGGUGAACUAAUAAAGGAAGAGUUCUUCCAUGAAUAGUAGUACAUUUACUAUGCAGAUGAUCUGGACAAGUAAUCAAACAAGUCAGCACUAUCUCACUAGGCAGGUUAUUAUUUAAGAUAUUUUCCACUUCUGAAUCUUUGCUCAAAUCGCUCGAUCAUUCGGUCUAUUUGUUGAUACCGUACAAUGAUUAUCAAUUUUCGUUGUAGUCCAAUCUUUGUUGAUUCAGGAAGAUGGCCCUGCUCAACGAGCUCAAGCAGCGUCCACGAGCAAGGCCAUCCACAACGGAAAUGUUGUGACUAAAGAUAAUUAUACGCAUAUUCAGUUAUAUAUAUGUAUAAAGUUUCUGUAUUUUCUUUUAGUCAUUACGCAGAACACUCAAUAUUCAAUAUUAGAUGACACAUUGGCCACA